CAGCCGCCCGGUGGNNGACUGACGCUGAGGCUCGAAGGUGCGGGUAUCAAACAGGAUUAGAUACCGUGGUAGUCCGCACGGUAAACGUUGGANNNUCGCGGUUGGUUUUUAUUGAGUCAGCCGCCAAGCGAAAGUGUUAAGUAUCCCACCNGGGGAGUACGCCGGCAANNNUGAAACUCAAANNAAUUGACGGNNGCCCGCACAAGCGGAGGAACAUGUGNNUUAAUUCGAUGAUACGCGAGGAACCUUACCCGGGUUUGAAUUCGGCAGGAAGUCUCCGGAGACGGGGAUGUCCCUUCGGGGUCUGCCGGAAGGUGCUGCAUGGUUGUCGUCAGCUCGUGCCGUGAGGUGUCGGCUUAAGUGCCAUAACGAGCGCAACCCUCGCCUACGGUUGCCAUCGGGUGAUGCCGGGCACUCCGUGGGGACUGCCCCCGCAANNNGCGAGGAAGGGGGGGAUGACGUCAAAUCAGCACGGCCCUUACGUCCGGGGCUACACACGUGUUACAAUGGGUGGUACAGCGGGCAGCGCGGCGGCGACGCCAAGCGAAUCCCGAAAGCCACCCCCAGUUCGGACUGGAGUCUGCAACCCGACUCCACGAAGCCGGAUUCGCUAGUAAUCGCGCAUCAGCCAUGGCGCGGUGGAUACGUUCCCGGGCCUUGUACACACCGCCCGUCAAGCCAUG
rnacentral:rRNA from 1 species